AGGAUGAACGCUGGCGGCGUGCCUAAGACAUGCAAGUCGAGUGGGUUUAGGCCCACGGCGAACGGGUGAGUAAUACCUAGGAACUUUCUUUAAGUGGAGCAUAACCCAUAGAAAUGUGGGAUAAUACUUCAUGUGCCCCGGAGUUAAAUCCGGGGUAAAGUCGCAAGACGCUUAAAGUGAGGCCUGGGCACCAUCAGCUAGUUGGUAAGGUAAUGGCUUACCAAGGCUAUGACGGUUAGGGGUCCCGAGAGGGAUAACCCCCACACUGGAACUGCGACACGGUCCAGACUCCUACGGGAGGCAGCAGUUUGGAAUUUUGGACAAUGGGCGAAAGCCUGAUCCAGCGACGCCGCGUGGACGAUGAAGGCCUUCGGGUCGUAAAGUCCUUUGCUCGGGAACAAUAAUUUGAGCGUACCGAGAGAAUAAGAGGUUGCUAACUCUGUGCCAGCAGCCGC
rnacentral:rRNA from 1 species